rnacentral:snRNA from 1 species
GACUUUGCACAGUGGCAAUAUUGUAGCCAAUGAGGCUUAACUGAGGCGUGAUUAUUGCUAAUUGAAAGCUUUUUACAGAUUGAAGAUGUUUUUGUCUAACCCCAGUUUGGUAAGAACUUUUAUCAAGGAUGGAUGUUGGUUAGAAUAUAUUUUAAUAU